rnacentral:lncRNA from 1 species
CUAGCAUUCUGUCGGAUAUAUGAUUUCCUGAGAGGUCGGAAUCGUCUCUCCAAGUUGGUGAGGCUGGAAUCUGGUCAGGAAUGAUGCCAAAGAAGUUAGUCGUCGCUAAGAUCCAUUACAUACUUAAGAAAUAAGUGUAGAAAAUGUAGAUAGAAUUCAAAGCAUCAAUUGCACGAGAGGGUCCAUACAAGGUUUUCGGAUUAUUCCUUUCCGACUUUGAUGACUUUAGAGACAAGGCAUCAGCUUACUACUAAUGAAACAAAAUAAUGAUCAUAUGUGCAAACCAAUAAUUGAGCCAACCCGCGACUUUAGCGUUUUAAGUCCAUUGUUCCAAUUCGGGUAAAGACAAUAUGUCGGAUAGAUGAUUUCCUGAGAGGUCUGAAUUAUCUCUCCAAAUUGGUGAGGCUGGAAUCUCGUCUGGAAUGAUGCCAAAGAAGUUGUCGUCGCUAAGAUCCAUUACAUAUGUAGAAGAAAAAUAAGUGUAGAAAAUGUAGAUAGACUUCAAAGCAUCAGUUGCACAAGGGGGUCCAUACAAGGUUUUUGGAUUAUUCCUUUCCGACAUUGAUGACUUUAGAGACAGGGCAUCAAAAGUAAUCAAAGUUCGAGAAACGGUUCAUCAGCUUACUACUAAUCAAACAAAAUACUGAUUACAUGUGCAAACCAAUAGUUGGCAACUUUAGCGUUUUAGAUUUAUUGUUCCAAUUCGGGGUAAAGACAAUCUAGUGCCUCGACCGAGGUUUUUAACUUUUUGAUGCGGGGCAUGCUUCAAUUGAGCAGACAUGCUUCAACUAGGGUUUUCAAAUCUUGCACUAGGAGAUAGUGAACCCUGUUUUUCAAUUCAUAUUAAUUCAUAUGUCCCUUCGUAUCGCUAUAGUUUUCACUAAAAAAGUAAGUUUAAAAUGGUAGGUGGGUUUAGAUAUUUGUCCACAAUAUUUGAAAUUUCUUUGCUUUCAUG